AUUGAACGCUGGCGGCAGGCCUAACACAUGCAAGUCGAGCGGGGUUUUCGGACCUAGCGGCGGACGGGUGAGUAAUGCGUAGGAAGCUACCCGAUAGAGGGGAAUACCAGUUGGAAACGACUGUUAAUACCGCAUAAUGUCUACGGACCAAAGUGUGGGACCUUCGGGCCACAUGCUAUCGGAUGCGCCUACGUGGGAUUAGCUAGUUGGUGGGGUAAUGGCUCACCAAGGCGACGAUCCCUAGCUGGUGUGUGAGGAUGAUCAGCCACACUGGGACGGAGACACGGCCCAGAGUCCUACGGGAGGAAGCAGUGGGGACUAUUGGACAAUGGGGGGAACCCUGAUCCAGCCAUGCCGCGUGUGUGAAGAAGGCCUUUUGGUUGUAAAGCACUUUAAGCGAGGAGGAGGCGCUCUAGGAUAAUACCCUAGAUGCGUGGACGUUACUCGCAGAAUAAGCACCGGCUAACUCUGUGCCAGCAGCCGCCGUAACAC
rnacentral:rRNA from 1 species